AUAGCUGCUUGCCAAGGACCUAUGGAAACAUCUAGCAGGGUGAAAUGGCAGGAAGCUGUUUUCAGCGCUGGAUGGUCAGCUUUGAGGGCCACAUCAUAUGUGAGGGGACACAGCCCACCUUCUUGACGGGGCUUGCUGCAUUAUUUUAUACCUUCUACACCAUCUCCAAUACCAAGAAGAGGCAGCAUGCGCACUCAAAUUCAUCCAAAGGCACUUCAUUAAAAUUAACCCUGAGAGAGGCACCAAAGCUAGACGGGGCAAAGUGUUAUCAAAGAAAAGUGGCAAAGUCACCAACAAAAAGACUACAAUUUUAUAUUAAAAUAAAAAGUAAAGUGCAAUAAGAAGCUGUGGAGUUUCUUUCUCUCACAUGUAAUUAUAUGAUUGAAAAAUCAGUGAUUUAGCUCUGUUCUUCAUUCACAAAGAACAUUUUGUUAUGGUUU